rnacentral:rRNA from 1 species
UACGUAGGGGGCAAGCGUUGUCCGGAUUUAUUGGGCGUAAAGAGCGUGUAGGCGGCCAAACAGGUCAGCUGUGAAAACUCGAGGCUCAACCUCGAGACGUCGGUUGAAACCGUUUGGCUAGAGUCCGGAAGAGGAGAGUGGAAUUCCCGGUGUAGCGGUGAAAUGCGCAGAUAUCGGGAAGAACACCCGUGGCGAAGGCGGCUCUCUGGGACGGUACUGACGCUGAGACGCGAAAGCGUGGGGAGCCGAACAGG